CUUCACCAGCGGGCCCCUUUCCCGAGGCAGUCCCUGCUCUCCCCUGCGAGAGGGGCACCCUAAUCCGUUCACCCCAUCCGACUUCAGAAUGUAUUCGUUGGGUUCAGCAACUCACCACCAGCAUCCAACCAAUUCUGUAUGUGUGGGCUGCCUGUAUGUGGUAGUGCGAGUUAACUGAAGCAAAGGUGGAAUUGCGCGCUCUCUGCAUGAGAUCUCUGCAUGAGCUUUUAAGGAGACAUAAUUAGACAGGUCAUGCAGAUUGUACGACUUGUCCCAAAACCCUGUUCAUAAAAGGGCUGCCUGGAUCGAAACGGAACCAAAACUGUUCCAUAACAAGUUGUAUUGUCGCUUUGAGAGUUGUUUGUAAAAUCCUGUGAUGCCAGCCAACCGACCCGCGCCUCGUGCGGGUUGGUUUGGUUGGUUUCCUCCAUAUGGAUAUGAGCUACUGCGUUGGGCUUGAGGCGUGUCCGACCGGAGAAGGCGUGGCAGCAUAUGCUGGUACGUCAGCUAAAAAAAUGCUUCGAUCGUCUUUUAAAGCAGCAUUCAAUUUUUCAUGCGCGAGUGCUUUGCCUGCUGUGAUCUCCCUUCUGGUUUGGUUGCAUUUGCAAUGGCGAGCAUUCGGCUUAGUGGUCAUGGUGCAAGUUUUAAAUUGUGAGCGCCCAGCGGCACGAAGCCUCAUCCCGCCAGCAAUCAGUCCAUCCGACGGAACUCUUUCCAGUGUUCCAGGUUCAUCUUCCAAACCUCGUUCGUUAAAACCUCGUUCUUGUUUCCCUUCCCGUUCGUUCAACCAAACCACUCCCGUACGUUUCGGAGCCAAGGGCAUAUUGCUUGCACGAGCUCUUGGCCCUUGGUUCCUGCGCUUCGACACAUCAAGGCAUCAAGGCUCUCGCCGACAAAGACCUGCUGGCGCGCAGUAAACAGUUUGGGCAGUCAGCAAAUCUCACUGCAGCCCACAACAAGCACACUGCAGCACCAAAACCCCACCACCACAUACAUCAUACAGGCAGGCGGCUGGCAGAGGUUAAGGCCUGACUUCUGCUCCCGGUCGACCCGGGUUCAAAUCCGCCUGCCGACCUCUCGGGUGUUUGAGAGGUGGUGAAAUGGGAGGUGGCCCCCCAUCUUGUGGACGGUGUAGGACGUGAUAAAAUCAACUUGCGAGCUGACCAGGAACUAAGUUGAGGCGCCGUUGAUCCGCUAGAUUUGGUUGGAUGCUGGUGGUGAGUUGCCAAACUCAAAGAGUACACUCUGAAGUCGGAUGGGGUGAAUGGCUUAGGGUGCCCCACUAGCAGGGGAGAGCAGGGAAUUGCCUCGGGAAGGAGGCCACUGGUGAAGCUUAACCACCCUGUAACAACAUCAACAUACAUCACAUCAUCGACAUCGACAUCGGCCGGUGUUAAGGGCGAAGAGUUCCAGCACAUUCACACGCCGCCGCGUUCCUGCUACAAGCCCCACUUCCCAUCACUCCCUCGUCGCGCAGCGCACCUCAUCAUGGAAUACCGCACAUGGAAUUACACAAUAUUCGCACCCACACGUAGCUGCGAAUCAAAGGACAUCCAAACCACGCGCAUCUGAAUGCAGCGCGCACAAUAAAAGCCAAUAAGGCGCAGCAAGGCGACAAAAAGGAAUCCACCGUUCCGCAGCAGGGAUCCAUCGCUUUCGUUUUUCCCCCAGCCCCCAACCCUAACAAACCCUCCCGAUCAGGUGUCCGCCACGCGCGCACCGCUGUGGCGAUACGAGUGUGGUUAUAGCCCCCGCUGUAGCGCCCCUCCGCUAGUUAACCAACCGCCGCGCGCUCCGAAACAACAACCAACCACCCUAACCAACUCACGCGUGGUGAGCCGACGACAUGGGUAACGUUUCGCGAGAUAGUACCCACCGUUGCUCCGAAAAAGGUGCCUGGGUCGCUUAUGUGGGAAUAUAUGUGUCUGUGUGUGGAUCAUCGCGUGAUCUUAUCUUAUGCAAUGAACUGCGAGGAUAUUUGCAAAACGCCGAAGAAACGUAGGUAGAGCACUGCAAGAAGCCUUGAGGAAAGGUCGGUGUGGCGGCGGUAUCAC
rnacentral:lncRNA from 1 species